GCAUUUUAUACUGAAAAGAUAACAGAUCUAUGCCAAAGCAAUGCAAUGAGAGAAGCAUCCCCUUCUCAUGAAUAGGAUAGCUAUUAUAACAGCUGUGUAGAUAGGAAAGAGAAGGCUUCCAAGGUGAGUCCCUUCCUGCCAGAGAAUCUUCUGAUCUUACACUUAAGAAUUAAAGAUCCAUCCUUAAAGGAGUAACAAGUGGGGUUGUUCAAACCAUCUUCUGAAAGAGGGUAGGUCACUGUUUCCUCUUUCCAUUCUCCACUCAGCCAAUUCAUGCCCUGUGCCCUGGAGUAAGUGCAACUGCACACUGGGAAGUCAUGGGAUCUUCUUUUCCUCCUACUCUUUUGUCAACCAAGUCCUUUACUUUAACUAUAUGCAAAGGGACUAAUGUCUAGCUUUAUUGAUGCCAGGGAGGUUAGAAAAAAAUUAAACCAUUCUCUUUAUACUAACUAUGGUCUUAUUAAAUAAGGGUCCAUAAGCCCUUUAAAUAUAAUGUUGCAUGCCUAUAUUGAGGAAACCUGAAUGAAUCUCAAUUAUCAACUCUAGAUCAUUCAUAGUAUCUACCCUAGAAGGGCGUGAAAAGGGUUCUGAAGUUGAAUACAAGUCAAUUCAAGAAAAUAUGCCAUUGAUUAUUAAUAUCUACCAGAAGGGAAAGAAAUGUGUUACAGCAGCACCAUGGGCAGAAGAGUCGCAAGGAGUGAAGGGUGACUUUCUUUGCAGAGGAAACACUAAAGGGAGCAUGAAGCAAUCAUGACAGGUGGACAGAAAUGCCAGUAGAGAACCUAGUUUCCUAACAUAACUUUCAUGGAGGCUUAAAAUCAUCAUGAAGAAAAAUGCAUUUGGAAAAUCCCCCAAUAUCUGAGAAUGACUCAGAUACUAACAGUGAGGGGUCAAGCUCAAGUUGAGGCUGAGAAAUAGAAUGGAGGCAGGAUUGUAUGGGAUCUUUCUUCCUGCUGGGCACACCUGAGUUGUCAUUACAAACAUAAAAAUUAAAACAUAUGACCAUGGAAGAAGACUAGAAGACUAGGUGAAAAGACAUGCUCACGUACCACCCACGGGUCAUACAAUCAUGGAUAAUUUUCUACAUCAAUCAGCUGUCCUACCCCGUCUGAGUGAGGCAAGCUCAAUGACAGGAGACAAUAUGAUGAAAGUCUCAGAGACAUAAAAAUAAUCAAGAAUGGCUAAAUAACCUCAGGAAUGUUCAAUGCUAAUUCAGCAGAUUGUACUCCACAUUCCUGAUGUAAUCUUUCCGAACGAAAAUGGGAGUUUGUGAAGCAGCAGCUUCCAGUCCUUCAGCAUUUUAAUGGUCACCCAUAUCAAUAUGAAGUCUUCUGCUGCGGAGAAAUUUGAAGGACAAAGCAUCCUGAAAAGUCUGACAAACAAAAGAGUGAUGUUGCCAGUGUGUUUAAAACACCAUCAAGAAGUGGUUUCCUGCACUGUUGGCCUUCCACAACCAUCAUCACCCUGACAGACACUUGACCCUCUUUUCCCCAUACAAGUAAGCACGCUAGGCAAGAACAACCACCAUGCGACCACUCAGGCUGCCACCUGGUGGCCACUCUGCAGUGACAGAUAGAGCAGUUUCCUUCAAACAAGCUCUGAGAAUCUAUGCAAAACCCAUGCAUGUCAUUUCAGAUGUUUUAGAAAAUGAGUAUUCUGUGAGGAAGAGAAUAUUCCGAGUACUUCACAGUGAAGAGAAGAAUUGCGUAGGCAUGAGCAGCAGGCUGAGGAUUUAUCUAUCCCCAAAGGACAACAAAUGACAAAGGUCAGGAAAUGGCGGUGAACUCACGAGCAAAGUACAGAUUCCGUCAAAUCCACUCCUAAAUCUUCAGUGCCUUGAGGAAAAUGAUGUAAGCUACACCACACCAUCCUCAGUAUAAUUCUCAUAUAGAAAGAUAGUCGUUACAGGAGUUGGAUGUCUUAGUCAAAGUAGCAUGGCACCACUGAGGCAGGAAAAUUCCUGUGAGCUCAGUUCUAGCCUGGGAAGCAUAACGAGUUCAAAGCCAACUUAGGCUACAUAAUAAAACUGUGUCUCAAGAAGGUGGAAGAGGAGAGAGAGAGGUUGGAGGAGAGGGAAGAAAAGGAAAGGGGAGGGAAACUGCAUAGCAAGCAAGAUGUGGUUGGUGGUGUGCACCUAUAGUCCCUGCAUCAGAGAGACUAAGGUAGGAGAUUUAUGAGUCCAGCCCUGCACUAAGGCUCUCAAACAAACCAAUAAAUAACUGGUAAGUAAGUCAAUGCUUAACUUUUUUUAACAGUUAUCUUCAGAAAAUGGGGUUUUAUUUUUCAAGACAGGAUUUGCGUGUGUGCAUCCAGGAAACAAAACACACGUGGAUGUGAGCAGGCACAUACCAUUUCUACACACUCCACAAUAAAACGUAACUGGAUGAUAGAAACCUUACUUCUUCAUGAAAAAAACAGGCUGUGAUGCUAUGAAUGUUUUCCUCAGAGAUAGAACGAAUAUCUUCAUUCCCAAGUCUUGGCCGAUCUGCUGUGAUGAAUAUUUGCGAGCGACUUCUUGGUAAAGGAAUCUGGAAGCUAAAUAUGAAGUGUAAGUUACACACUUCACACCCGCCUGCUUUUUCAGGGUUUUAAAUGUGUGCAAAGUGGCGAGAACUGUAACUGUGGCCAGACAGAGCCUGGCUCGGGUGCUAACUCCACCACCAUGGGCUGUGAAAUGUUAUAGAAUCUCCUUCCAACUCCCAAAACUUCUGUUUCCUCAUCUCCAUGUACGGAUGAUAAUCUCACCUCCUGGGGAUUUUAUUCUGUGAAUGGAGGAAAUUUACUCAAAGGCUGAAACAGAUAAAUCCAGAAUAUUAACUGACAGCUGAUUGAAUUUGGGAGUGUGGCCACUGGCAUAUUGCUCAUUCUCCAGUGGAGAGCCCCAUACCUGCACACAUAUGACAACAUUAAUAGGACUAAAACAUCAUGAAAACAAGGAGACUAGAAACACACGAGUAAAGAUUGAUAGAAAAAACCAUGGCCUGUGUUAAGAGUCAAGCCUACCCCGAAGUUAUGAAAGACAUUGGCACUAAAAUCUCUAAGAGGAAACUCAAGGAGGAGACAUCACGGCAACUUAUCUAGAGAUGGCAGUGUCCCCAGCACAGGUAAUGCUCAGUGCCUGAAAAUGUCAUGGAGGAACUUCAGAAAGUGUGCUUUGAAAGCCAUGGGAGACCCACAGACUUCUUUAACACAAAGGGUUUUCUCUGCCUCAACUCUAAAUUUCUAAUACUGUUUACCUAAUUUAAGACUAUCCCAAAGCAUAGAAUUAAGUGAACUGGAAAAGUCAAUGACACCACAAGAAGACCUACAGAGUCAACUAACCUGGGCCCAGGGCUCUCACAGAGACUGAACCACCAACCAAAGAGCAUGCAGAGGCUGGACUUAGGCCCCGUACACAUUUGUAGCAGAUGUGCAGCUUGGUCCUCAUGUGGGUCCCCUAAUAAGUGGAGUAGAGACUGUCUCUGACUCGGCUGCCUGCCAUUAGAUCUCCUUCCUCUAACUGGACACCCUGGUUGGGCCUCAGUGGGAAAGGAAAGGAUAUGUUUAAUCCUGCUAUGACUGGAUGUCCCAGUGCAUAGUAGUACCCAAGUGGAGGAGGCUUCUCCUUCUCUGAGAAGAAAGGGAGUAAUGGGGGGAGAUUUGUAAAGGUAGGACUGGGAGGGAAGGAGGGAUGGGGGUCACAAUGGAGACAUAAAGUGAAUGAGUAAAUAAAUUAAUCAAAAAAGAAAGACUGUCAUCAAAAGGCUUGCAUUAAAAAGCAUGUGACCCUAUGUCCUCUGAAGAACAAGUGAGUAUGUUAUUUGGCUAGGUUACUCUAUCAUGCAGAGAGAAGAAACAUGAAAUGAGGUUAAGAUGGUAAAAAGGAAAGAAGAAAAGAGCAAGAGUUAAA